AUUGCAAUUGCUGGGUCAUAUGGUAAUUCUAUGUUCAACUUUUUGAAGAACUGUGAAGUUAUUUUCCAGAGGAGCUGUGCCAUUUUAUAUUCCCACCAGCAAU
rnacentral:pre_miRNA from 1 species